rnacentral:rRNA from 1 species
AGAGUUUGAUCAUGGCUCAGAAUCAACGCUGGCGGCGUGCCUAACACAUGCAAGUCGAGCGAGAAAGGGGCUUCGGCCCUGAGUAAAGCGGCGCACGGGUGAGUAACACGUGGGUAAUCUGCCCUAGAGUGGGGAAUAACACCGGGAAACCGGUGCUAAUACCGCAUACGAUCGCGAUGUCUUCGGAUGUUGCGAUGAAAGGAGCAAUUCGCUCUUGGAGGAGCCCGCGGCUGAUUAGCUAGUUGGUGAGGUAACAGCUCACCAAGGCAACGAUCAGUAGCCGGUCUGAGAGGACGGUCGGCCACACUGGAACUGAGACACGGUCCAGACUCCUACGGGAGGCAGCAGUGGGGAAUUUUUCGCAAUGGGGGCAACCCUGACGAAGCAACGCCGCGUGGGUGAUGAAGUCUCUUGGGACGUAAAACCCUUUCGACGGGGAAGAAACCGCAAGGUUGACGGUACCCGUAGAAGAAGCCCCGGCUAACUCCGUGCCAGCAGCCGCGGUAAUACGGGGGGGGCAAGCGUUGUUCGGAAUUACUGGGCGUAAAGGGCGCGUAGGCGGUCCGCUAAGUUGAAUGUGAAAACUCUGGGCUUAACCCAGAGCCUGCAUUCAAUACUGGCAGGCUAGAGUUCUGGAGGGGAUAGCGGAAUUCCUGGUGUAGCGGUGAAAUGCGUAGAUAUCAGGAGGAACACCGGUGGCGAAAGGCGGCUAUCUGGACAGAGUCUGACGCUGAGGCGCGAAAGCUAGGGGAGCAAACAGGAUUAGAUACCCUGGUAGUCCUAGCCCUAAACGAUGGAUACUUGCUGUAACUGGGAUUGAAUCCAGUCGUGGCGAAGCUAACGCAUUAAGUAUCCCGCCUGGGGAGUACGGUCGCAAGGCUGAAACUCAAGGAUUGACGGGGCCCGCACAGCGGUGGAGUAUGUGGUUUAUUCGACGCACGCGAGACCUUACCUGGGCUCGAACGGCUGUG